CUGGGUCUCUCGCUCAGCAGGGUCUGUUGCAAGGCUUCCGUGGCGGUGUAGGCAGAGGCUGCAAGGUUCAACUCCAAGUUCAACUGGGGUAAAACUGGCUUCCAAGCUCACUCAGUGGUGGUUGGCAAGAUUCCGUUCUCUGUGGGCUGUUGGGCUGAAGGCAUCAGUUCCUAGUUGCCCUCAGUCCUUGCCUGGAGGCGCUUUCAUCACAGUAAGUAAAGGAGAAGACCCGAAACCGGAAGUGUCACGGUCUUCCGUUGCCCCAGAUGAGUCUGUGGGGCUGCAGUCUAUGGGGCUGGAAAAGAGUCAAAUGCAGCUUCGCGACUAAACCACAACCACAGAGGGCCAUAAGGAAGCAGCCGCUCGGCGGCUUCUGGCGUAGCCCCCUCUCCGAGCGGCGUACUUCUGAGCGGCCCGGUGGAUAAGGUUACAUGGUCUUUCAGUCACAUUUUCACAGCAAUCAUUUCAUGCCAGGCCCUGACCAGGUUGCUGUGUUGGGACUACACAUCUGCUGAAAGACUGGCUGUCCUGGAAUGCCUUACAACUCAGGAGGCACUGAGCCGAUCUGCUGAACACCAGAGUGACGUGAAUUAACCGGCCCAGAAUCAGUCCUGGCAUCAGAAGAAGGAGGGGUGAAGUUCUCCCUGGUGGUUCUAAAAGUCAUUUUCCCUAAGAUUUGUGAUUUACGGGAUGAGCUGCUUGAAUACUUACCAAAUCAUUUCUCACUCUUGUCCAGACUCCCCACUUCCAUGCCUCUGUGGACAAUCAACCCUAGUGUGGGUCACAUAGACUAGAGUCCAAAAGGCCCUUGGAAUUUUUCCCUUAACCUUAUUUUUCUUUCUUCAUGAUCGGAGGAUCUUAAAUGCGAAAUGUUUCAGCUGCAACCUGGCCCAAUUUAGUUCAACACUGGCCUUGGCCAGUGUGCAUCGAGCAACUCUGACCACCUGGCUUAUAUUUUCCUUCAGAAUCCCGGUUGCUCUGCCGUGGACCUGUCUCUCAACUCUCCUGAGCCCCUGUGUGGUCCUUGGCUUCUGUGAGUUAUGACGUUACGGGAAUGUAUCCCUUUGGUUGUCUUUGAAGUUUCAUGAAGCCAGAAGGAGGAGGAAGAAAGAAGGAUGCUCUGACCAGCCAGCAUUCCCUAAGACAGGUUAUUUUCUAUUUUUAAGAAUUAUGAGUGACUAUGAAGAUGGAUGGUAAUUGAAAGAAAACAAUGAAUUAAUAGCCAGAAGCAUAUUAAUAGGUCAAGGGACUAAUUCAUUUAGUGGAAAGGUUAAUUAAUUGGAUGUGUGUGUGAUAAAGACAUCUCAAGGUGACAUUUUAGUGGACAGUCACAUCCUCACACUAGCGAGGAGGGUAGGAGUGUGCUCUAUCAGAGGAUUUCGACUUGGUGCCCUGCUGAACCCUGACUGACUCUACGCUAACCAGGGUAAGCAGACGUGCAGUUUCCAGGGGGUCUUUGCGGGGAGGAAGCAAUGACCUUCUAGCUAUUCAGUGAUGGCUCACUCACCCUGUACCCCAGCCAUAUGACUUACUGCUGCUGCUGCCUGAGAACAUUUGCUGUAAAAGAAAUAAGACAUGGUCGAGCCUUCUCUUCUAUGGAUUAAAAUGAAUCUAUCGCACAUAUCAAUUGUACAGAAAAGACUUGCUCCCAUUAUAGGAAUUUUAGGCCACCCAAGAAGAUGUGUAUGAACCCAGGAGUCAAUUCACAACAUUCUUACAUAGACUACAAGUCCUGUUAAGAACUCCAUACAAUACAGGUUUCUUUACAUAGAACAAUAAAUUAGUGGUAUCGAUGAAAAAAACCCUUUAUUCCAAGCAGUGAUUUGGAUGAUGUUUUUGAAUGAAAACACACUAGGAAAAUACUAUA